UUUUUAAUUGACACAUUUCAGUGGUCUUCAUAUUCCAACUUCUCAUGUUGUAAUGCAAUCCAUAUUGUUUUUCCAACAACCUUGAUAAACAGUAUCUUACAUUGUGAAUGUAUAAGUGUAAUUGCAUUGUUCUGGUACUUUCCUCCACUGGUCUUACCGACCUCAAAAAGUGUAUUGAUGCUCCCGUAGAUGAAUUACUAUUGCUUCCUGGUGACAAAGGCCACCCUAUUACUAUUAUAAUUAUUCAGUUAAAAAUUUUGGUGUGACACUGAUUUCUUUCUAAACUUGAUAUUAUGUGAAGCAGCAAGGAUUUUAUUGGAAAUAUAGAUUAAUUUGGUUUUAAUGAACAUAUGGUGCCGACGAAGUGUUUGAUUGGAUUGUUUCUGACAUCAAAAUUAAUCCUUGUAUGCUUACCAUUCGGUGGAGAUCUUCCAAUCACUUCCUUUAUUUUCAAAAUGAUUGACAUAUUAGCAUGUCAUGAUGCAGUAUAUUUGCUAUUGUUGUUCAAUUUUUGUGAUGUUAUUAUUAAUUUGUGUUGUUUUUAUUUGACAGACAGGGAAAUCGAGGCAUUUUGGAUUCAUCGAAUUUGAAUCUCCUGAGGUUGCAAAAGUUGUUUCAGAAUGCAUGCAUAACUACUUAUUGUUUGAGCAUCUGUUGCAAGUUCAGCUUGUUCCUCCUGAGCGUGUUCAUCUGAAACUAUGGAAAGGUGUGACGCACCGGUACAAACCCUUGGAUUGGGUUAAAAUUGAAAGGUGUC